GAUGAACGCUGGCGGCGUGCCUAAUACAUGCAAGUCGAGCGAACAGACGAGGAGCUUGCUCCUCUGACGUUAGCGGCGGACGGGUGAGUAACACGUGGAUAACCUACCUAUAAGACUGGGAUAACUUCGGGAAACCGGAGCUAAUACCGGAUAAUAUAUUGAACCGCAUGGUUCAAUAGUGAAAGACGGUUUUGCUGUCACUUCUAGAUGGAUCCGCGCCGCAUUAGCUAGUUGGUAAGGUAACGGCUUACCAAGGCGACGAUGCGUAGCCGACCUGAGAGGGGGAUCGGCCACACUGGAACUGAGACACGGUCCAGACUCCUACGGGAGGCAGCAGUAGGGAAUCUUCCGCAAUGGGCGAAAGCCUGACGGAGCAACGCCGCGUGAGUGAUGAAGGUCUUCGGAUCGUAAAACUCUGUUAUUAGGGAAGAACAAAUGUGUAAGUAACUAUGCACGUCUUGACGGUACCUAAUCAGAAAGCCACGGCUAACUACGUG
rnacentral:rRNA from 1 species